GAAGGGGUAUUAGGGUUUGAGAUGUUGUCGACACUGAACAUCAUACAAAGAAACUUCCUUCUCUUCUUCAGCGGCGGCUAACCCUUCUCUCUCCAAUGGAUUUUCGUUUUGUCUCUCUUCUCUUCCGAUUCAUCUUCCAUUUUCCGUCUUCACAUGCGAUGGUGAUUCUCUCUUUUCCGGCGAGAGACUCUCUGUUGUGCCGCUUCAAACCUCUCCGUCUCAAACCUCUCGCUCGAUCUCUUCUUCUGCUUCAACUAAAUCGAUUUGGAAGAACACGUCGAAGGUGUUGAAUGUUGGUGAAGAAACUUUCAUGUCGGUGUUUGAGCGGUGAAGUUGACGAAUGCGUUUUGGCAUCUGUUGCAGAGUCCGAUUGUGUUGUUGUUGAUUCAGAUGCGGAUUUGAACGUUUGCUGAUGUGAUUGGGUGAGAUCGUUUCAAACCUAUUAUCUUUUAAUCUCUCUUCUUUUAUCUCUUUACUUUCCGAAGGGUUUGAUGUAUUUGGAAAAUGAUGAAAGAAAAUGUUUGGGUUUUUGUUUGAUUUUUAUGUAUCUGGCUUUUCUGAUGAACAUGAAUAAUGCUCAUUUCUUCUGUUACAACCGAUUUUUGAAGGUUUUUGGUUGUUUUGAGAAAGUGAUGAUUUAGGGUUCUGGUUGUUGGUUCUGCGGCCGUGUAUUUUGCAGAUGGUGAAACAAAGAGGAAUCCCUUCGGAACCGCUUUGCAGUAUAUGUGGGACAAUCGGAAGUCUGAGUUUUGUAUCACCAGCUUUGGUUCAAGAUUUGACUAUGCCUGCUCAAGUACAUGGCUGAUCUAUAUAGUGUUGCGUUUCAGAUUGUGGUCAUUGUAGUGUGAAUUAUCACAACAUUGUACUAAUUCUAAAAUUUGCUUUUGUAUUGGUGUUUCGCGGCCGUAACGAUGUUUUGUUGUGGUUGUAACGAUUCUCAUUCGAGGCUGAACUGACAAUUUUUGUAACAAUUGUGCAGAUUGGUGAAGCUGUUGGAGGACAUCAUGGAUGGGAGUUGAAUAUUGAUAUUCAUGGAUAUUGUUGAGUGAGAUUCAGUGGGUUACUUUUGUUCUACUGACUAUGGGGAGCACUACAACUUAAAUGUUGAUGAAUUUCUAUGAGGUACUUGAAGUACUGGUAACAAAAGGAGCAGGCAGCGAUGAUCGUCGAAGUAUCAAAGGUUGUGUGGUUUGUUUGAAUUAUUUUCAAGAACAAAAGGAGCAGGUCUCAUUUUAAAUUCUUCAUCUCACACUCUUCUAUGUGCCAUUUUUUUUUGUUCUGUUGUGGCUUAAUAAACUUAUCCCCUAUUUCUCACGUAUUGUUAUUAGAGCUGAUGAUAAUGGAGAGGGUAAGUAAUUUGAAUUUUCCUUUUCAACUUUUUGAAGAUUUUUAUGUAUGUAUGAUUGUGCAGGUGGUACAUUUUCUCUCUGUUCAUUGGUAUCAAAUUCUUAAUGAAGAACAAGAAAUCUAUGUAUGAAAUCGUUUUAUGAAUCUAUAGCAUGUAUUAUGCAUUUUGGCUACAGAUUCUACAAAGAGCUUACGCAAAAUUGUCACAGUAAAACCAAAGAUAAAACACAAAAGGUAUCUGUUUGGUUUUCCAGGUCCGGUUUAUACGGUUACUUUUAAAAAAUAAGCUUAUACAAUCUUUUUUCGUUUUUCUUUUCAUUUCUUCACAUCGUUUUUCUUUUCAUUUCUUCACAUCGUUUCUACUCAUACUCGGACGAGUUUCCUUUAGUUGUAAAAACAGCAGUGGUCGUAGAUGGCAGUUUGUACGGAAUCAAUCAAAUUCGAGUAUACUUUUUAGCCUAGCUGGUAUUCUGUUAGUUAAUCAUUUGUAAUAUUUACCAACAUUAUUAGGGAAAUAAAGUUAAUUAAAUUGCUCUUAUUGGCAGUGCUGAUCAAUAUGGGAACCGUUUUAUUCAACAAAUGCUUGAAACGUGCUGUCCUGGUUGGCUUUAGGACAAGAAGAUGAUGACACUACAUCUCUCCAAAGCCAACCACCUCAUCGCGAAGCUUUCCGAAUACGACAGUUCCUGAAAGCUCGAGCCAACAACACAUCACAUACGAGAUCAGUUUCAUAUGGAAGCACACUUUUUGGCGAUUUAUCUGGCAGCACCGGUAGAUAUUAAGUAUUGCAUUUAACAGUGGCAGGGCAAUAAAUUAUUGGCUUUAGCAACAAUGAAUGAUAUAAUUAAUUGGUCUCCAGUAUAUAAAUAUAGAUCCAAAUCACAUUUUCUUAUAGAUAUUACAAGUGUAAAUAUGCUUUGAAAAAUACA